rnacentral:rRNA from 1 species
UACGUAGGGUGCGAGCGUUGUCCGGAAUUAUUGGGCGUAAAGAGCUUGUAGGCGGUCUGUCGCGUCUGCUGUGAAAAUCCGGGGCUCAACCCCGGACUUGCAGUGGGUACGGGCAGACUAGAGUGUGGUAGGGGAGACUGGAAUUCCUGGUGUAGCGGUGAAAUGCGCAGAUAUCAGGAGGAACACCGAUGGCGAAGGCAGGUCUCUGGGCCACUACUGACGCUGAGGCGCGAAAGCGUGGGGAGCAAACAGG